UGUGUAUUGAGGGAAGGGGAGAUGUGUGCAACACCUUCCAGAAAAAUGGGGAGGUAGUUUAGAAAGUUUUUCUCUGUAACAGCACAGCUUCUGAGAAGGCAGAGAGAAGAAAGCAGACAGGAAACGAAUCCCUUCCUCCUCUCCCCUUUACCCCCUUCCUUCACUCCCUAGACCAAGCUGGUCACCCGGCUGGGAAUCAAGAUUGUGUGGCUGGGAAGACACCAGUCUCUGUGCUCGGGUUCAGCCCAGUCGGGCAAGAAAGUCUGGGCAGCUGGAGAAGGUCGUCACAGUCUCCCGUGGAAUCUUGUUGCCUGAGAGCCCCAUAACGGAAAGGGCUAAGACGACUCUUCCACACACAGGUCGCAGCCCCUGCCGCGGAGGAUCCCCAGGAAGAUGCUGGGGACGCUCUGAGCAUCGGCCUUUCUUUACCCCCGACUCCCUGGAGCUUGGUCUCGGGAUGCCAACUUGGGGCACGGAGGCGACGGGCUGCUCCGAAGCUGGAGGGUUUCUGCUUGGGUCAGAGGGAUCACGACCUCAGCAGAGCCAGGAGAGGUUGGGUGACACCCACUGCGUAUUGCACUUGACUCAAAACUGCCCUCGGCCUGCGGAAGAGGCGAGGGCAAGAAGCCUGGUGGCGGGUCAAACCUUCACCCUAUUAUUUUCUAUCAUUUUUUAUGCCCAUAUAUUUGUUAAAUGUAUGGCUGCUAUACACCAACAGCUUAUUCUACAAGAAGUGCCCCCGAGGAGGAUUGGGUUAAGCUUUGCAAAUUUGGCUUCCCAGGUAAUGCGCUUCAUUAUUCUGCUCCCGACUUACCCACCACACCAGUGGGUACCCGGAGCAGCACCCACUUGGCAGAACUGAUGACUGCUUGGGCCCAGCGGAGUGCGCAUUGCGCUAACACGCGCACGGGAAUUGCACCCUUGCCGGAGCCUCCGCACCGUGCGCCCUUCAAAGAGCUGGCGACCCCGCUCACGUGUAAGCAACCUCCCACUUUGAAACUAAUUCGCACCCGGGUCUUUCACCCCAAAGGACUUUGCUGCGGACGCUGCUCUGACCCAAGACGCGGGAGAGAAGUCCCAAAGGCUACAGCCAGGGGCUGGGGGACUCCUCUGCUCACCUUAGUCCUUGAUUUCGAAGGCCCCAAUUAACUAUCUGUUGUGUCAGAAUCGGCGAGUGCAAAGUAGCUGCGCCCCGCUGACGCGCUCUCUCCUGGGUCCGGGUAUCCCAGGGCAUCCGGAGCUGGGGAGGGUUGUGCGGACUACCCAAGGCACGCGCAGAUACCGGGCAGGGAAGAAGGGCUCCGUGUUCCAAGGAUGGUCGUUUACCUCUCCUGAGAUCAGCCCUAAUCCCUUGGUAACUUAAGCGCCUCUGAACUCGGGGAGCGCUUGGUGGGGCGCCUCCCUGCAUCCACCCCUACCCCUGGCUCCUUCCCAGGCCCAGCAUCUUUCCCACCAUUCUCACCCCCACCACCCCCACGGCCCCGCCCGUUUAGAGGCGUGCGGUGGGCACUUGGUUUACAGAACCGGCGUUUCAGAUGUUUAUUUGCAACUAAUUUCUUGUGCUGGAAAAUGCUUGUUACCCGGGCGGAGCGCUUCCGCUCUGCGCGGUCCGGCCCGGCGGGCGGUAGCUCGCUGAUCCCUCCGGCGAAGCCUCCAAGGAGCGGGCGGCUGGGAGAGGUUGUGCCACCCGGGACCAAGCCAUCGGCGCUGCUCCGGACUCCCGGUAGGGGGAGCCGCCGCGGGCGCCAGGCCGGAUUGUGUUCUGGCCUCGGGGCGGCCCUGCUGCCAGCGGCCGGGACUCUCAGCACAGAGCUCGGGAGGACUCCACCUGCUCUCCAGAUAAGGCGCCAUGAGCAGAGAAGGGAACAGACGGCCAAGCUCCCUCCUAAUUCCCCGUUGUUGCAGAGCAAAGAAGAUGGGGGAGAACUAAUUAUAUUCUCUAGGUCUAAAUAUUGUUGAAAAAUUUGUAGGUGAGAUCACCUCCUUUGCCCAUAUCCAUAUAUAAUAUAUCCAUUACAUGUGUUUGCCCAUAUAUAUACGUAUGCCAUAUGUAAAUAUGUACGAGUGUGUAUGUAUGUGUAUAGCAGUGGUUUAGAAUUAGUCUCAGUUCCACAAAUUUUGAGCCCUUUUAAUAUUUUAGGUGACCUAAUACCUUCUCACUGUAUUUUCCAAGUCACUUAUUUCCAAGAGUUUUAGGUGAUCCCAGCAUAGGAGCUGAGCAUAGGAGCUCAGAUGAGACUUGCCAGUUUUGCUGCAGUAAUGUCAGCAAAAGAGUCUCUCUCUUUCUGACUCUAUAGACUUAAGUAAGGGUUUACAGGCUUUCAUUUUAAGGUAUGACUGAUAUUUAGAGAACAAGACUAAACCAAGGUCAAGGGGAAAACAGUUAGACUGUGAACCUGCAGACCACUCCACUGCACCCAGUGUGGCCGUACACCUGUGCUGAACGGCCAGAGACUUCCUGGUCAAUACUCCCACAGAUAAAAGACUGCAGGAUCUGCUUAUACACAAAUCCAUCUUUCGCUGGGAACCCACAACUCAUAACAACUCUCCUAAUGCCAAGUCAUCAAGGCCUCUUGAAAGAGAAUCAUAAAAAACAAAGAAUUUCAAACUUGGAAGGAAACCUAAAGUUUACUGGUGAGGAGCUUGAACUGAGUAGAAGCAAAGAAUCAUACUCCAGAUGAGAAACGCCCCAUGCACUGAGCUGAGACUGGAACUCUCCUCUUCUUACUCUCAGUCCAACAACAUCACUCAAACAACCCUAUUACUUCAGUAGCAAUGAACUGUCUCUGGAUUUUAUUAAGCAUCUCACUAGUUCCUUUUCUUCAGCUGUAUGGCACCCUGUCUUCCUGUACACCAGAGGCUCCUCAGCUGGGUAAGGUGAGCCAACGUUACCAGGAGUAUAUGCUGAGAGGCCAUUUCAAAGUCUUUCAUAGAAGGCUGUGCUUGGGCAAGUAGAACUUUUCAUCAUACAGUCCCAGAGAUGUGAAGUUAUCAAGGUCAGAGAAGAGGAAAAGAGACUCAGAGAAACUGUGUUCUCUAGUCUUUCAUUCGGGAACAAAUGGUGUCGUACCAAAUGGCUGAAAAGAUCCCAGGCUUACUCUGAGAAACAUCUCUCUCUUCUGAAUUAAACUUGCACAGUGGCUAACAGUGUUUUGUUUGGUGUUGACAAAGUAAUAAAACGUUACCGUUUCUCUUUC
rnacentral:lncRNA from 1 species